AUACGGAGGGUGCAAGCGUUAUUCGGAAUCACUGGGCGUAAAGGACGCGUAGGCGGGUUGGCAAGUCAGAUGUGAAUCCUACAGCUUAACUGUAGAACUGCAUUUGAAACUGCUAACCUAGAGUAUGGGAGGGGGAGAUGGAAUUAGUGGUGUAGGGGUAAAAUCCGUAGAUAUCACUAGGAAUACCGAAAGCGAAGGCGAUCUCCUGGAACAUAACUGACGCUAAGGCGUGAAAGCGUGGGGAGCAAACAGGAUUAGAAACCCUAGUAGUCC
rnacentral:rRNA from 1 species